UGUACCUGAAAUUAAUAAGUUAUACAGAUAAAUGAUCAUAUGCCGGAAAUAACCAGAUGACUACAAAGUCAUAAUGUUAUUAGUGUUACUUCUACUGCUAGCUUCAAUUACUACACACUAAGCAAAAGCAACAAUACCAUUAGAAAAUAUUAUACCAAACAAAGCAUAGCGUGAUUUAGUCACAUAUCUAUUGAGUUUUGACAUGGUGGAAGAUCACUGUUGCUUAUGACGUCACAAAAAAUGCCAAGGGGAUAUUUUUGGCCAUUUACCAUCAGUCCUUAGAAUUAAUUUCUUUUCUUCUGUACUGAAUACCAUAAUCACCUUUUUACAACUCCCAAGGGAAGAGAUGAGGUGAUGCUAUUCUAGGUUGAGGUUCAAGAAAAGAUUCAUUUAGGACAACAUUUUGUGAUUCCGAUGCGGUGGUAGAUUCUACAAAGCACUGCUAUUGCUAAGUUCAUCGAGAUGUGGACAGUGUGAAAAUGAAAUUAAAAACACUUACUCAGGUCGGCCGGGAUAGUACAAGGUUGAGACUCGCAGGUUACCGGGGUCGAACUUGGUAUCGAGAUAAAAGUCAGGAGAU